rnacentral:rRNA from 1 species
AAGGGUCCGUAAAACGGUAAAUUAAGCGAAGAGGAAGAGGGGGAGCUAAAGCCCUCCGCCUUCCACUGUCUUUUCUAAGGGGUCAAAAGAAAAGUUAGUUAUUUAUAAGCUAAAAUUAUAAACUACUAUAAUCGAACUGAUUAACUAGAGUCUUAUAGAGGAACAGAGGAAUUGCAAGAGUAAGGAUGAAAUCUAUUGAUACUUGUAGGACCGCCAAAGGCGAAGGCAUCGUUCCAGGUAAAGACUGACGUUGAGGGACGUAGGCGUUGGGAGCGAAAAGGAUUAGAUACCCCUGUAGUCAACGCUGUAAACGAUGAGUGCUUAAGAUUAGUAAAAAUUAUAUUAUAAUUCAAAAUUAGUCUCGAAAUGAAGAUGUUAAGCACUUCACCUGGGGAGUACUGUCGCAAGGCUGAAACCCAAAACAUUAGACGGUCACGGAAACCAGCAGUGAAGCAUGUUAUUUAAUACGAUGAUCCGCGUACAACCUUACCACUUCUUGAAUGUCCUUUUCCUUAAAAAGAAAAGGCCUAUUUAACUAAAACAAAUUAUAUAACCACGAUAAUUUGAUUAAUUAAAUUUGGACAAAUACAACAGGCGUUGCAUGGCUGUCUUCAGUUCGUGUCGUGAGAUGUCAGGUUCAUUCCGGUAAACGAAUGAAACCCUUCUUUCUUAAUUUUAUUAGAAUCAAAUUAAAUUGAUAUUAUUUAUUAAGAUGACCCUUGGAAAACGAGGAUAUAAUGGGGAUUAAGACAAGUCGUCAUGGCCUUUAUGAAGUGGGCUAUAGACGUGCCACAAGAGCUUUUUACAAUGGGAUGCUAAGACGUGAGUCAGCGCUAAACCUUAAAAAAAAAGCUAUGUUCGGAUUGUAGUCUGCAACUCGACUACAUGAAGCAGGAAUUGCUAGUAAUCGUAA